rnacentral:rRNA from 1 species
AUUGAACGCUGGCGGCAUGCCUUACACAUGCAAGUCGAACGGUAACAGGUCUUCGGAUGCUGACGAGUGGCGAACGGGUGAGUAAUACAUCGGAACGUGCCUAGUAGUGGGGGAUAACUACUCGAAAGAGUGGCUAAUACCGCAUGAGAUCUACGGAUGGAAGCAGGGGAUCGCAAGACCUUGUGCUACUAGAGCGGCCGAUGGCAGAUUAGGUAGUUGGUGGGAUAAAAGCUUACCAAGCCGACGAUCUGUAGCUGGUCUGAGAGGACGAUCGGCCACACUGGGACUGAGACACGGCCCAGACUCCUACGGGAGGCAGCAGUAGGGAAUUUUGGACAAUGGGCGCAAGCCUGAUCCAGCAAUGCCGCGUGCAGGAUGAAGGCCUUCGGGUUGUAAACUGCUUUUGUACGGAACGAAAAGCCCUGGGUUAAUACCCUGGGGUCAUGACGGUACCGUAAGAAUAAGCACCGGCUAACUACGUGCCAGCCGCCGCCGUAAAAC